rnacentral:lncRNA from 1 species
UGAUAAUAGUAAUACAAAUACUAAAAAUUUACACCGUUCUAUUGAAUGUGCAACUCUGAUUAAUAGGCGGUGAGCCUUCAUUUAGGCUGUCCAACAACGGGUGCGUGAUAAGUACGAAACGCGGGUCUGACGACGAAUGACAAGUUCAGGAAACAAACUAAUGACGAAGUACGAACGGGCGUGCCUGUGAGAGUAGUGCACCGGGUCGUGCCCCUGCUGGUGUGGCGUUCAAGGCUGUGGGACACACUCACGUUUCUGCUCGUCCGUGCUCGUCCAUGCUCGUCCAUUUUCC